rnacentral:rRNA from 1 species
UACGUAGGGUGCAAGCGUUACCCGGAAUUAUUGGGCGUAAAGCGUCCGUAGGCGGUUUUUUAAGUCUGGUGUAAAAGCUCGGAGCCUAACUCCGAAAGCGUACCGGAAACUGGAAGACUAGAGAUAUGCAGAGGCUAGUGGAAUGCGAUGUGUAGGGGUAAAAUCCGUUGAUAUAUCGUAGAACACCAAAAGCGAAGGCAGCUAGCUGGGCAUAUUCUGACGCUGAGGGACGAAAGCGUGGGGAGCAAACAGG